rnacentral:lncRNA from 1 species
GACACCGACAUAUCGUGACCCCGACGUGAUCCAAGAUCGGCGGCAUUAUUGAACCAAAUACCCAACUACAUGCCAAACAUCUCCAUUUAAAGACUUCACUUCCACAGACACCUCCACUCCAGUAUGUUCCAAGAAAUGAACUCACUUGCUUUCAGCUCUCCAGUUUAUAGAUUCCCACUGUGUCAUCAGAGAAACAGACACCAAGCUGGAAUAGAUGUGCAAGAGGCUUCUAAGAGCUCCCUUAGCUCUCAUCUCAGCCCAACAUGAUCCAGCAGAUUUACUUUGGGAUUUAAGCUUCCCAGCUUGGCAGCCAGGAGAGGAGCUUGGGCAGCUGAGUAGAACACCUGCUGCUUCGUGGGAGAAAG